rnacentral:rRNA from 1 species
CCUACGGGGGGCAGCAGUGGGGAAUAUUGGACAAUGGGGGGAACCCUGAUCCAGCCAUGCCGCGUGUGUGAAGAAGGCCCUCGGGUUGUAAAGCACUUUCAGUGAGGAAGAACGCCUGGUGGUUAAUAUCCAUCAGGAAAGACAUCACUCACAGAAGAAGCACCGGCUAACUCCGUGCCAGCAGCCGCGGUAAUACGGAGGGUGCGAGCGUUAAUCGGAAUUACUGGGCGUAAAGCGCGCGUAGGUGGCUUGAUAAGCCGGUUGUGAAAGCCCCGGGCUCAACCUGGGAACGGCAUCCGGAACUGUCAAGCUAGAGUGCAGGAGAGGAAGGUAGAAUUCCCGGUGUAGCGGUGAAAUGCGUAGAGAUCGGGAGGAAUACCAGUGGCGAAGGCGGCCUUCUGGACUGACACUGACACUGAGGUGCGAAAGCGUGGGUAGCAAACAGGAUUAGAUACCCCUGUAGUC